UUAGCUGUCCUUUUCAGUAAUAAAUUUCCCUCGAUAUUAACUCUGGAGGUGAAUACACAGCUUUGUCUGACAGAUAUUCUGAGUGGAAGCUCGAGUGAGGGCAACUAAAGAGAAAAAUAUAGAGAAAAACAGUCUCCGAAGCCAAAACCCUAGAUAUCAAUAACAGUAGUCAAGACUUUGGACUUUGGACUUUGGACAGCCUUAAAGUGAUGGUACACAGAUUCAAUUGCAGACAAAGGCAUGGGCUUUUGAGACCUUCCUGGAUUUUUCAGUGUUAUGGCUUCAGCAGUUGCAUCUUUUU